rnacentral:tmRNA from 1 species
GGGGGCGACAGGCUUCGACAGGGGCUUGUAUAGAUCUUUGAGUGCACGCCGGGCUUGCUUGUUAGCUCGUUAAAAAAACACGCAAAACACAAAUGCUAAUCAAGAAUUAGCUCUCGCUGCCUAAUUAACUUUAGCUACAGCGAUGUCCCGCGGGAAGUUCGCCUGAUGCGACCCGUUGGGGCAUAACCCAGUUCAGGCUCGGGCACGUCCUCCGCCUGCGGACGAGUCUUAAAUUUAGCCGGGUAUGCCAUUGGGGAGGUCUUGUCGGCUCACCUGCUCUCCGGUGGCGAGAUGAAGUGAACCGACUAAGCGUGUAGAUCUCACUGGUCGCAACCUUUGGAUGCGGGUUCGAUUCCCGCCGCCUCCACCA